UUCGCAAUGCCCGAAAGGGUGACGGAGCGACGCCGCAUGGACGACGAAGGCCCUCGGGUUGUAAAGUCCUGUCAGGUGGGAAGAACAGCUUGGAGGUGAAUAACCUUCAAGCCUGACGUUACCAUCAGAGGAAGCACCAGCAAACUUCGUGCCAGCAGCUGCGGUAAUACGAAGGGUGCGAGCGUUGUUCGGAAUCACUGGGCUUAAAGGGCACGUAGGCGGGGAGAUAAAUCAGAAGUGAAAGCCCGGCGCUCAACGUCGGAAUUGCUUUUGAAAAUGUCUCUCUCGAGUUCAGGAGGGGAGAGCGGAACUCUUGGUGGAGCGGUGAAAUGCGUAGAUAUCAAGGGGAACGCCGGCGGCGAAAGCGGCUCUCUGGCCUGAUACUGACGCUGAGGUGCGAAAGCUAGGGGAGCAAAAAGGAUUAGAUACCCUUGUAGUCCUAGCCGUAAACGAUGGGCACUAAGUAGAGGGGUUUU
rnacentral:rRNA from 1 species